UGGGGAAUAUUGCACAAUGGGCGCAAGCCUGAUGCAGCCAUGCCGCGUGUGUGAAGAAGGCCUUCGGGUUGUAAAGCACUUUCAGCGAGGAGGAAGGUGGUGAGCUUAAUACGCUCAUCAAUUGACGUUACUCGCAGAAGAAGCACCGGCUAACUCCGUGCCAGCAGCCGCGGUAAUACGGAGGGUGCAAGCGUUAAUCGGAAUUACUGGGCGUAAAGCGUACGCAGGCGGUUUGUUAAGUCAGAUGUGAAAUCCCCGGGCUCAACCUGGGAACUGCAUUUGAAACUGGCAAGCUAGAGUCUCGUAGAGGGGGGUAGAAUUCCAGGUGUAGCGGUGAAAUGCGUAGAGAUCUGGAGGAAUACCGGUGGCGAAGGCGGCCCCCUGGACGAAGACUGACGCUCAGGUGCGAAAGCGUGGGGCAGCAAACAGGAUUAGAUACCCUGGUAGUCCAGCGCUGUAAACGAUGUCGAUUUGGAGGUUGUGCCCUUGAGGCGUGGCUUCCGGAGCUAACGCGUUAAAUCGACCGCCUGGGGAGUACGGCCGCAAGGUUAAAACUCAAAUGAAUUGAC
rnacentral:rRNA from 1 species